GAUCCUGGCUCAGGAUGAACGCUGGCGGCGUGCUUAACACAUGCAAGUCGAGCGAAGCACUUUGCUUUGAUUUCUUCGGGAUGAAGAGCUUAGUGACUGAGCGGGCGGACGGGUGAAGGUAACGCGUGGGUAACCUGCCUCAUACAGGGGGAUAACAGUUAGAAAUGACUGCUAAUACCGCAUAAGGCCACAGCACCGCAUGGUGCAGGGGGUAAAAAACUCCGGUGGUAUGAGAUGGACCCCG
rnacentral:rRNA from 1 species